GUCCACGCCGUAAACGAUGUCAACUAGCUGUUUGGUAUAUGAAUAUAUUGAGUGGCGCAGCUAACGCGAUAAGUUGACCGCCUGGGGAGUACGGUCGCAAGAUUAAAACUCAAAGGAAUUGACGGGGGCCCCGCACAAGCUGUGGAGCAUGUGGUUUAAUUCUAUGCAACGCGAAGAACCUUACCUACCCUUGACAUACAGUAAAUUUUGCAGAGAUGCGAAAGUGCCUUCGGGAAUACUGAUACAGGUGCUGCAUGGCUGUCGU
rnacentral:rRNA from 1 species